UAGAUGAGGAGGGCGUUUCCCAUGGGUUUCCGGUUGCCGGCUUCUUCCGCCCAAAUGAACGCGUGUGCUGCCUGCCCUGUCCGGGCCUUCCGCCCUGUGCCGUGCGUUUCCCAAAUCCCGGCUCCAAUUCCUUCCGAGCAAGCGCGCCGCAGGAAUUUGCACCAAUGGUGAUCCAUCACUAUGAUCCCAGUUCCAUUUGCCGCGAUUGUGCUCAAGCGGCUGUUUGCCCGACGCAAAUUGCUGGGCGUAGGCAGUGCGCCUCUGUUGGUAGAGAGCGCCGCCGCCAACCUGCUCGCUGGAAUGCCUCGCCGAAUGGUCAUGGCUCAUAAGGGAUUUUGGGGCGAGGGGGCCUGGCUGCUACGGCCGUUGCUACCACGCAGGCAGCAAUGGAACAAGCUACGGCCUUUUGGCAUCACACUGCGAGUUGCUGCUUCUACUAUUUCAAACACAUGGAAUGCCCUCCUCUAGGUGUGGACAAGCCAAGCCCAUGACCCAAACAGAUCGCUCGCUUUUCGCAGAAGCAAGGAUUUGGAGGUCCGUUCGAACAUGUUGUACUUUCUCCUUUACCUUUUCCUUUUGUUGAACUUCUUUCUGUAUGCGCACCAGCUAUUAUUUUUCAGUUCUGGAGUUAAGGUGGUACAGCUCCCAGUAUAAACUACUCUUUUAGACUGAAAUAGCAUCACGGCAAAUGAACUGUCGGAAGGAUAUAUUGCUGUGAUAUACUCUAACAUGAACUCCAAGAGGAAUAGAGGAAAAAAAGAAUUCUUGAUCUAUUCGUAGAACUUGAAACAAUUGUGAAGUUGUCCUCGUUUUAGUAAUUCACGAGUAGCAGUAUUUGUUAUAGUGGGAAUACAAAGCAUAUGUUGGUAGAGUAAUAAUUAGAACCCAGGGCAACUUUGCUAAUAGUAAUAACUGAUAUGUCCCACGGAAUUUGCAAAUGUUCUUGUAUCAAUUACCCUGUAUGGAUACAAAUGAUUGAUAUUGUGUGCCUUAUGACCAGAUGACCAUAUGCACUAGGGAGCAAUGAAGUGCCGUGCUGCAAUUUACUUCUUUUUGGUAGAUUAGAUGACAAAUGCUAUAAAUUAUUCCACGAUCAAUAUACCUUAUUGUCUUAUCUGUGGGCACUAACUCGAAACAAUGUGCUUUGACAGCUCAUAUCAAAGAACAGAAGGAAAAGGAUUUAUGUUAGGUCUGAUGCAAUCUUUGGUAAAAGUUGGUUUGUUCUGUACUUGUAUGUACUAGCAUAUACUUUGCAAGUAACUAUGACAAAAGAAGAAAUAACCGUGCCAUUUGAAUCAACUGUGUUGUUACUUUAAUCAGUGCAUCAUCAUUACUGUGAUCGGAUCAACAUGUUAUCUGCUUUAAGAUCAUAAUGUUUUUCAUGUGGCAGCUCCUUCUAUGUUGCAUUACCUGUUGCUUAACAGAGAAGUAAAUCUAAGUUUGUUAUUUGUGGUGCGUUUUUUUAUCUAGGAUUUCUAGACCUAGUUUUCUUCCAUAACUAGCAUGGUAUGAUUGCUCUUUUCCAAAUGGGAUCCUAAUUUUUUUGUAGCCAACUUGCCGUCCUAGAUGAAAGCCUUUCGAUAGUUCAUUGUCAUAAUUCUCUACCUGGUACCCCCAAAAAAUAUAGUUUUGUUAAUUGGUCAACCAAAGUACCAUCUCUAGAAAUAUGGCAUUGUGAGGGAAGGAGAAGAACAAUAACAGAUAAGUUCCUUAACUUGAAACAUAUGAAAAAUCUCUAUCAUCCAGAUCCAUAUAUUCAUCUUUUGUGAGAAAACUCCAACAAAAAUAUCCACUAAAAAGAUCUCAUCUCAAACAGACUAGAUAAAUAAGUGAGGCUUUAAUGGUGGUUUUCAUAUAGAUCUUUGCAAAAACUCUUUAAGUCUUUAGUUCAAUCAUAAUAUGUUUAAUUUAGUUUAUUAAUUGAUCUUUUGUAAGCUUAGAAUCCAAAAUAAAAUGUGCAAAGACAUCUAAAAAGCAACAGAAAAAUAAAAGCGAUUAUAAAAGCCACUGCAAUACAUACUGCCUCUUAUCUUGUUUGGAGUGCUCAGAAGGGCCCCAAAACAAAUCGUCUUCAGUGUUUGAUUUGGAACGACUGGGAGCAUUGGAACUCAUUUGGACAGGGGCAACUGACUUUGAUGGACAGGGGCAACUGCCUUUGAUGGGGAAGAGUGUUGAGGAGGUGGCCAUAGAGAAGGGAGAGCAAAAGAGAAAAUAAGAGGUAGGUGAUAAGGAAAAUUGGAUAGGUGUCUAGUGGUCCGAUAAGCUAGAUCAGCAAAACCAUUUUGAAUUAUUCAAGAGGAUAGUUGUGUGGUUUGAAUUAUUAAGAGGGUAGUUUGUGUAGUUUUAAAUUAGAGGGUUUAAUUGUCUGAUUUUUUUAAGUUAGGAGAGUUAUUGAAACUCGAUCACAAAUUAAAAAAAGGAUUUCCUCUAAAAAAUAAAGGAUCCACUGCCAGUCCGACCGGAGUCUCACCUCAUCUGCUACGACGGUGGCGCACAAAUUCCGCGAAACAUGGGUUGGUCCUUUUGUAAGAGCUGAAUGCAUAAAUCUGUUAGCUUUCAAAAUAAAAUAGUUGAACGAGCACUUUAGGAAUCUCUUCAAAGAGAAAGCCAUAUCAUGGAAAUUCAUUCCUUCACCCACCUUUAAAUUUCCUCCUUUUCUUUUGCAGCAAGAAUGAUCUUGUGGGCUCCCUUGCCCACUUCACGAGCAGGGAUCUUAGCAUAACCUUGCAUCACUUUAUAAUUAUUUUUCUUGUUUUCUGCACCUAAGUGCACAACACUAACAAAACAGUAUAUUUGCAGUUAAGGUGGCCCAAUCUUUACUUUAAAAGAGCUUGAGCCCGUUGGAUCCCCCAAAACUACUGCUGAUGCUUUAAGAUUCCCCAAUCUUUGCAUUCUGCAGUAAAGCAGGCAAAGCAUUGGAUGUUGUUAGCCUACUACAUGGAAAAAUGUGAGGAAAGAGGCUAUUGAAACUUGGUACAGAUCCUUUAAGUUUGAAUGGCUAGCUUUGGUGGCCUUGGAAGAUUCAAAGCGAAAAGCGUGCUCCUUGCAAGAAGGGCAAGCACAAGAAAUGAAAAGCAUGCAAAAGCACAAAGCCUUGCAUUGUACUGGUGUCUGCUGGUUAUCACAACCUGGGCUGUUUUCACCUCUAUCUAUUAACGGUUCAAUUUUGGUUUUUACUGGAGACUGGAAUAGAGGAGGAUGGCAACAAGUGUCUAAAGCAGGGGUUUGGUUCUUGCUGUUGCUCUUAUCCCCUACAUGGGCACUUUAGGUUUGUCUCUUGGGAUAGACGAUGGGCUCUCCCAUCCAAUGACUUUGCCAUGUCAGGGUCUCAGAACCUUCCAUAAGCAGCCUUAGGCAUGCCUCCCUUGUCCCUUUGUGCUUUGGGGCUCGGCGUGGCCUUGGGCUAUAUCUACAGACAGAGCAUUGCUGCGAUUGAUGGUUGUACUAGCGCAGCCAGACUAAUAGAGCCCAGGCAUCAGCAGAAGUUGCAUGUCUCCAACUGAGGAGCAGCAGCAGCAGCAGCGACAUG